ACCUUAGAAAACUCAAAAAGCCUCAAAACUUAAAAAUAAAAAUAAACAGCUAAAUAAAACAUUAAUAAUAACAAUAAAAAUACAAUAAUAAGUAAUAGAGAAUGAAAAUUAAAAUGCUAAUAACAAAAAAAUUUAAAAAAGGGAAAACCCGAAAAAAGAGAGACUUAAACAAAAGUACUGAAAAGGAAAAAAAUAUCUAUCGCACAUCAUAAACAAACAAUAUUAUUCCUUUUGCAUCAGGAGCUUAUGAGAAAAAACAUAAAUAAAAACUAACAAACAAAAUAACACACACAAAAUUUAUGUAGCCCGAAACCUUGUGAUCUAACCAUAAACAGAUAAAAAAAGACCUAAUUAUUAAAUGUUACAAUAUUUUUAAACGAUUUAUGACUAGAAACAAAAAGUUAAACGAACAAGGAAAUAACUGGUUUUCGAAGAAAUAUAUUUUAGUAUAAAAAAAUCAGAAAUUCUAACACAAACCAAAACAACAAAUUCUGACACACACACAAUACAAACUAAUUGUGAAAAGAUAAUUAGUUUAAAUGAAAACAGCCAUAACCUAAAUUCAAAUUAAUAACAAAAUAUAAUAAAUUCAAAUAAAAAGUAGACUUAAAAACAGCCAUCUUCUAACAAAAACGUAACUGUUUACUACAAAAAUAAUAAAAUAGAAAAUCCAUAACAAAGAAAAAACAAAGAUUAGGUUUUAGAUAUUCGAAUAAACAUAACAAUUUAAGCACUAGUAAAUAACACACACAACCCAAAGAACACUAUCCGGACUUUAAUUAAUAAAUAGAAUUAAAAUUAACAAAAAACAUAAUCUACUUCCGUUCUUAAAUCCGCCUCCGGUAGGACAACAAUAACAACAAAAUCUUAAGGAACUCGGCAAAAAGGGACUCGACUGUUUACCAAAAACAUAGCCAAUAGAAAAAAUUAUUAAGGGUGAUGCCUGCUCAAUGGUUGAACAAUAACAAACAACAACGACUAAAUAGCUGCGGUAACACCUGACCGUACAAAGGUAGCAUAAUAAACAGCCUACUAAUUAUAGGAUAGAAUGAAGGUAAAACGAAGACCCAACUGUCUCAAGACCCUAAAUCUAAAAUAGAAUGUGUGUGCAAAUCCACACCAAAACGGCAAGACGACCAGACCCUAAGAACUUUACUCAAAACUUAAUGAAAAAAAAAUAAGUUUUAAGUUUCGUUGGGGCAACGAUCUUUAAAAAAGUAACUAAGAUUAUCCAAUCACAAACAAAAAGAAAAAAAGACAAUACCUAUAACAGAUAACACCCAUUAAAAACAACUUUAAUGAAAAAAAUAAAAGUUCCUUAGGGAUAACAGCGUUAUAUCGUUCUCCAGAAAAAUAUUCAAACGAUGUUUGCGACCUCGAUGUUGAAUUGCUAUACCCCAAAACGUAACCACAUUUAAAGGUUGGACUGUCCUUCCAUUAAAAUAGCCCAUGAUUUGAGUUCAGACCGAGGCAACUCAGGUCAGAUUCUAUCUACCGUUCCAUAAAUGAAACAGAUACAAGUACGAAAGGAAAAUAUCCACUACCCUCUAGUAAAACCACGAAAAAAAUUCAAGUUUAUAAAACAUAAAACACACACAACACCACCCUCCA
rnacentral:rRNA from 1 species